GGGUGAAAUCCGGGAUGGGGAAGGCAGUCCAAGAGAGUACUCUACUUGUGCAGAGUUGCCAGAAGGGCCAGUGUGUGGGGUUUGGUGUCCUCACCAGAGAGAGCCUUAGAGCUUCCAAGGGAUUAACGCACAUUCUGCCUUUGUCACCUAUCAGCAGAAAGUUCUAGGUGAGCAAGAUGUCAAGUACCGGAAGCAUAGAUACACCAGAAGACGUGCAGGAAUGUACAGUGACUCAAACCAGAGGAAUUUCCAUGAGUGGACGUCCUUUCACAACAAGCAAGAUUCCUGUGUGGUCGUUGUUGCUGUCACCUGGGUACCCGGAGGAACAUGUUAAUCCCAGACAGGAAUGAUGUCAUCCAGUGUUUAUAAAGUGCAUUCCAGCCCCAGACAACCGUCUUCCACCUGUGACUCCCUUUACAGAGGACUGUACUUCCUGCCAACUGGGCUGCGGUGCCCUGCCUCCGGGCUCUCCGCACUCACCCUUGCCUGGCAGGUCUGGAAGGACUCAGGGCUAUUUGGUUCUUGGAGCGACCCUUUGACUGCAUCUUCUCACCACCACCUCCUCAGCGGUUAUUUUAGUCAAGCGUUAUAACCAGGAUGAAGGUGCGUGUUACUGAUGCCACGUUCCUUUUCUACUCUGUCACUGCUCAGUGCUGUGCCCUCCCCCAUGGCCUUGCUGUCUCCCCUUGAGCCUGUCCUAAAAGUGACAGCUGGAUCCUGGCUGCAGCUCUCAUCAGCAACUUGAUCUCGGUGGCCCUCUUCCUGCCCAUACAGGUGUGUGCCUGGAUUUCAGGUCACCUUUCACCCUGAGCUGGGAAGCCAACUCACACCUGCCAUCCUAGGCCACCGAUGCUGUGCGCCCUCUCACCUGGUCUGUGCGUCAAGUUACCUGAGAACAGGAAGCCCCGAACCCCUCCCUCUCCUCCCUGCCACCUGCUAACUAAUGAGUGACAUCAUUUAGCACUGUUUUGAAACGAGGGAUUUGAA
rnacentral:lncRNA from 1 species